CCUAAAGCACACGCUGUAGAAUUCUGACCCAGCAGGCAGCAUGGCGGCCUGUAAAACACAAGGACACUCUUAUUUAACAUUGGCGGUGACAUCCAGAAGGCGAGGAAGACAGUGGUUUAUUUACCUGUAUCCUGGAAGGCUCAGACUGGGAAAUGGGGAUACUGAAGCCCACUUGGUGUAGGCUGCAAAGCUGUGCAUGCUACUUAAUACGACUUGUAACCUCCUGAGUCCUGAAAACUGUGAUGCUCUGGAUACAGUUCCCUUUGAACGUCUGCUCUACAGCCCGGAGCUAAAUCUGCAUCCCCCUUGAAAGCUGAUGGUGGACGGGGAU
rnacentral:lncRNA from 1 species